rnacentral:miRNA from 1 species
UGAGCUGGCCGAAAAGUUCGUUUGGGUUUUUCCAUAACAUCUUAUGGAAAAACCUGAACAAACUCUUUUGGCCAACCCA